UACGUAGGGUGCAAGCGUUAAUCGGAAUUACUGGGCGUAAAGCGUGCGCAGGCGGUUUUGUAAGUCUGUCGUGAAAUCCCCGGGCUCAACCUGGGAAUUGCGAUGGAGACUGCAAGGCUAGAAUCUGGCAGAGGGGGGUAGAAUUCCACGUGUAGCAGUGAAAGUGCGUAGAGAUGUGGAAGAACGACCGGUGGCGAAGGCGGCUACACUGGCUCGAUUACUGACGCUCAGGCGCGAUAGCGUGGGGAGCAAACAGG
rnacentral:rRNA from 1 species